rnacentral:rRNA from 1 species
AGAGUUUGAUCCUGGCUCAGGACGAACGCUGGCGGCGUGCCUAACACAUGCAAGUCGAACGAAGUAUGUUUUUCGGAAUAUACUUAGUGGCGGACGGGUGAGUAACGCGUGAACAAUCUGCCCUAUACAAAGGAAUAGCCUCGGGAAACUGGGAUUAAAACCGUAUAACACUUAAGCACCGCAUGGUGCAUAAGUCAAAUUGAUUAAGAGGUAUAGGAUGAGUUCGCGUCUGAUUAGCUAGUUGGUGAGGUAAUGGCUCACCAAGGCGACGAUCAGUAGCCGGCCUGAGAGGGUGAACGGCCACACUGGAACUGAGACACGGUCCAGACUCCUACGGGAGGCAGCAGUGGGGAAUAUUGCACAAUGGGCGAAAGCCUGAUGCAGCGACGCCGCGUGAGUGAAGAAGGUCUUCGGAUCGUAAAACUCUGUCCUUGGUGAAGAAAAAAAUGACGGUAGCCAAGGAGGAAGCCCCGGCUAACUACGUGCCAGCAGCCGCGGUAAUACGUAGGGGGCGAGCGUUGUCCGGAUUUACUGGGCGUAAAGGGUGAGUAGGCGGUUGUAUAUGUCAGAUGUAAAAGGCUAUGGCUUAACUAUAGUAAGCAUUUGAAACUGUACAACUUGAGUGCAGGAGAGGUAAGUGGAAUUCCUAGUGUAGCGGUGAAAUGCGUAGAUAUUAGGAGGAACACCAGUGGCGAAGGCG